GUUUUAAGUGUGACCAUUCAACCAAAUAAAAUUCAAACUGAAACAAAUUAAAGCCCUCUGAUAGCACCAAAGCUGCGUCCGUGGCCGAGGACCGACACGUGCGAGUCGAAAAGCGAGCCCCGACAAACUGAGCACGAGCCUCUGGAGACGCCUUCAUCCGUAUUCCAGGCACGGGCGCCGACAGCUGGAAUAUUACUGCAAACAAGCGACACUCCAUUUGUCUACAUCCCUUCAGAAUUUUCGAAAAGUGGCUAAACUGCCGCCGGCCAACAUCUAUGUCAAAGCCCACAAAAAAUAGCUUUGCAUCGAUGUGUGAGGGAUCGAUACACCUUACGGCAAAUAAAAAUGUCAUCACUCUAUCAGUCGGUCAGGAGGGCGAAGCACCACUGUGGAGGCCCCAGUCGCCAUUUUCAUGUGACUACAAUGGUAUAUGCGCACAAGAUUUCGCGAUGGCUAUUCAAUAAUCUCCGUUGACAAAUUUCCCAUUACACUUGUCUCGACGUUUCAUCGCUGAACUAAACGGAAAUACUAGCGUGUAAUGGAUGGGAUAUGGGUGGAACGGUCGUAAAUGUGCGCUCCUUUGUUCUAAUUAAGUGCAAAAAAUUCAUUUUGCGAGGGCGAAACUCAUUAUACGAUUUUAAUACCUAAUUUCUUAAAUGCAAACUCGCACUUUUGUUUUGAUUUUUCGCCCGGUUUUAGGAUAACUUGGGAAAAAUUAAAAUGUUAAUGCAAAUUUACUUUGCUUUUGUUUGGUCUUUAUUACCUACAUGGAAAAAGAUAUUUGCAUUUUUUUGAAACUUUAACAGCGACAUAAAACGUGCAGUGUGCUUAAUUGAAUUUUUAAUUUUAAUAAACACGGGUUUUAAAUUUAGCACCUUUCUUCUAGGUUUUAAUAGGGAGAGGAUAUCAGUGGUAAUUGCAUUUUUUUAUAUUUAGACGAAAUGGGAUGUAUGUACAGUUUCAAGCUUACACUUGGAAAAAUAAAGCUGAUCCAAAUUACAAACACGUCCUGUCGAGGAUUUGGAUUAUAAAUAGUAUAAUAUUAUACGAAUUUUAUAAGACGUUCUAUUGUGCCACGAAUGAUUUUGGAGCACGACGAAGGAGUGCCACAACUGUCUUAUAAAACGAGUGUAAUGUACUAUUUUUUCUACUUUCUACAUAGUUUAACUUAUCAAAAUCUGUUCAAACUAUUUCUUCUUAAUUUUGUUAAUUAUUCGGGGUUUGUUAAUAAACGACUUGACGCUGUUGACAAAUCACACAUUAAAAUACAGUGACGACUGAUGACUCCCAGACCGGCACUGUCAAUACGACUCCUAAAAAUUUACUAAAAGUAGUUGCACAAAAGUUCGCUUUCAGUUUCACAAUGAACAUUUUGUGAAACCAAAGUAGAAAAACAAUAAUACAUUCUAUUCUCUACACUCAUUUUUUUUAAAUAAUCACACACAAUCAAGAUAACACGUUCUGAAAAUUUUAAAUCUAUUUUCUUGAAAUCUCUCGAAAAGAAAUUAAAACAGUGCAGUUAACAAUAUAUACUUAAAUCGCAUUUUUUAUCAUUAAUAGAAAUUAAUAGGAAAAGGCAAUAAUUAUUUUCUAAAAUGGUUUUAAUAUUUUUGUAAAAAAAAAUCAUACCAGGAUGCAUAUAAUUGCUAUUUCAUUAAAAAAAAUUGAAAUUAAUAUUUUGAAUCGUUUUUCAUUUUUGAACGUUCUUCUAAAUUGAUAUACUAGUAAAAAGCUCUAAAUUAGAAACAAAUUCCUUUGGUCGCCAUAUGUUUACCGAGGUAACAGAAUAACUUAUUAAUUGUUUCAAUCCAAAUAAGUUAAUAAAAAUUAAAAAAGUAUCUUAAAGUGGCUAAAUAAUAGCCGAUUAUUCUUUAGAUGUCUCAGAGAAAUGCAAAAAAAUUAGGAUUUUUUGUCAAGUGUUUAAUAACGAGUUCUCUAUAUCCUGCAUUUACACGAAUAAGUAUGUAUUUAAUUUUCUCAAUUUAUUACAAAAACGUAGUCGUAAUGGACACAUUUGCCAUAAUAAAAUAAUUUGUAUGAGCGCUCUGUAAAAAUUGUAAACCUUGUUCUAUUAAAACGAAACACAUACUUGCUUGGGAGUUUUAGCUCAGAGAUUUAAUGCACAAUUUCAUAUUCCUACUUCGAGCGAAAAAAAAAUCCUAGAACUAGACUGCGAACUUACCCACCAAAAAUAAUAUUCUAAUUCUAAAUCAAUUUUUAAUUCAAAAUUGUGACGCAGUUUCUUAAAUGAACAAAUUAUUGGCUACACAAAAUUCCGAGCCUUCCUUUAUCCUUUUAAGAUCCAGACGUCCCAGACAUCAUUAAAACUCGAGUUCCAUCUUGCAUAAUGAAAAAUUUUCAGCUUUCAUAGCUCAUGAAAAUAUAUUAAAAAUGCAUUGCUCAGUAAUUAAAAAUUUGUUGGUUAUCGUAGCUAAAAAUCGAAAUAACCAGUGGCAUAAUUUUAACUUGCUUUGUAAAUACGCAGAAAUACGCAUCAAAACAAAAUUACUUGUUAAGAAAACGUCAUUUGAAUACGAAUUGCCACACAAUUAAUUCUAGAAAUAAAAUCAAACAAACGUAAAUUUAUAAGUUCCGACUCUUCUGAGACUAGAUAUUUGCAUAUUUUUUAGUAAAUCCAAAUAUCAUUGACAUUCAACGUGAAAACUUAUUUAUUCAAUGAAAUUUUAAUUAGAUAGCUUUUGCCUGCAGCUUAGAUUGAUUGAAAAAUUUGAUGGAUUUUGUAUUUACUGUAUUACCACCACAGGCACUACACUGGAAACCCGUCCAAAACCUUUCCAGCUUAUUACAAACACAUUCAAAAUUAAUGUCGAGAGUCGUGAUGACGUUCGGGAUUUUCCUCAAUGUAUUCUACAGAUGACUUUAAUUUUGAACGUGAGCAUCCAAAGUAUUGCCCAAAAUAUGCAGUUCCUAAACUUCGAUACAUAUUUUAAUUUUGUGCUGUUACUUGUAGAUGUUAAUUCCGGCGUCUUUAAAAUUUAAGACAAAUGUUUAAUUGCGCCAACAGUUAUGUAAAUAUCGGCAAGUAUUUGCGAAAUUAGUCGCGAAGGAGAAACCUCAAAGUUUACGUUAUGGGCGACAAUUCACAAGGGACAAAUCCGUUCCAUUACACUGCCGCAAAUGGAUGCAUGAAACCCUUCCAAAUAUAUUAAGUUCUCUAAUGGGCCAAAGAAAAUACUCUCGAUAAUCAGAUUAUUGCGAUUCGCUACUUAAUUGCCUGCACACAAAAGAAUUUUUCAAGCCAUUGUCUCUCAAAGCGCGAGAGAUGACAAAAAAUCCAGUUGAUUGAACAACCAAAAUUCGAAAAAUGUUGUUUCAGCGAUAAAAGUGGCAACCAAUCUUGGAUUUAUAUAUCGCAGCUUUCAGUUAUUCACCCUCUUCAAAACAUAGUACACAUUCGUAAUUUGCAACUGGUCUUAAAUAAACACAUAAAAUUUUCAACGGUAGCUUAUCCACAUUUACGAUUGCAAUUUGUCCUUAUCUUUAAACCGUACGUUAUUAUUUCUCGGCAAGUUUUUUGCUCCGUGCGUUGGCAAGGGCGUCAUUCCUUGUAAUUGCACAAUAAAAAUAAAUAAUCAUGGCUGUAAAAAUCGUUUUAUUAUAUUUCCAAACAUAAAACUUUAUACUUUGUACUUUCUGGGUAAAACAAAAACGUUUUGUUAUUAAAAUAACUAUGACUGGCAAGUCGCGUUAUUAGGAAAUUUAUUAAAAUGUUCAUAUUCCGGGACUGCCGGCUCGUUCGUAAUCUUUAUUAAUAGCGAAAUGUCUUUGGUAAUUAUUUAAAAGUCCAAUUAGUCUGAACGGAAUUUCAUUUCGUGAAACAAUCGUUGCAACUAUUCCCUUUUUUAGCCAGUUUUAUUACGCAUUAAAAAGUGAUUUAAAGACCUUAACCGUCUUCCAAUCAAAUUAGGAGCCGCCGCUUAAGAAAGUUUUAAUACAAAAUUAAAUGUGCCCCGCGGAAGUAACUUUUUAAUAGGCUCGAUUUUACUGAUCGUCAGCAAUAUAAACUUACAAACUCAAGUAUUUUAAAACUUUGUUACGCAAGUCUAGUACGUUUAUUAUAAAAUAUUUACGAGAAAUGCUUUUAGUGUGGCUCAUGUCUGCAACUUUCGACUUGUUCUGACAAAGUACGUCACAUCCGUAUUAGUUGAAAAGUUGAGACAGCUUGCAGUAGCCUUAAGAAUAAUUAAGUAGGGAAUUUUUCAGUUUCGAAAUAACUGGACGUGUGAGCUAACAUUUUUCCGAGAAGAUGAUGAAUGGGUUUAUCAGUACGGGAAAGGGAGCUUCACAAAGUCAAUUCCCAGUUUAUUCCGGAACUUUCUUCUAGCUUCAACUCGUGCGAAAUGUCAGACGGAUUUCUGCCGAUAAAAUGUCACAAACAUCCUUUGUUAUUCAUGGAGAUUGGAAGUAAUAAAUUCUAAAUUGAA